rnacentral:rRNA from 1 species
GAGUUUGAUCAUGGCUCAGGAUGAACGCUGGCGGCGUGCCUAAUACAUGCAAGUCGAGCGAACGGACGAGAAGCUUGCUUCUCUGAUGUUAGCGGCGGACGGGUGAGUAACACGUGGAUAACCUACCUAUAAGGACUGGGAUAACUUCGGGAAACCGGAGCUAAUACCGGAUAAUAUUUUGAACCGCAUGAUUCAAAAGUGAAAGACGGUCUUGCUGUCACUUAUAGAUGGAUCCGCGCUGCAUUAGCUAGUUGGUAAGGUAACGGCUUACCAAGGCAACGAUGCAUAGCCGACCUGAGAGGGUGAUCGGCCACACUGGAACUGAGACACGGUCCAGACUCCUACGGGAGGCAGCAGUAGGGAAUCUUCCGCAAAUGGGCGAAAGCCUGACGGAGCAACGCCGCGUGAGUGAUGAAGGUCUUCGGAUCGUAAAACUCUGUUAUUAGGGAAGAACAUAUGUGUAAGUAGCUGUGCACAUCUUGACGGUACCUAAUCAGAAAGCCACGG